rnacentral:rRNA from 1 species
AGCGAACGCUGGCGGCAGGCUUAACACAUGCAAGUCGAGCGGGCAUCCUUGUGGUGUCAGCGGCAGACGGGUGAGUAACGCGUGGGAACGUGCCCUUCGGUUCGGAAUAACUCAGGGAAACUUGAGCUAAUACCGGAUACGUGCGAGAGCAGAAAGGUUUAUCUGCCGAAGGAUCGGCCCGCGUCUGAUUAGCUAGUUGGUGAGGUUAUGGCUCACCAAGGCGACGAUCAGUAGCUGGUCUGAGAGGAUGAUCAGCCACACUGGGACUGAGACACGGCCCAGACUCCUACGGGAGGCAGCAGUGGGGAAUAUUGGACAAUGGGGGCAACCCUGAUCCAGCCAUGCCGCGUGAGUGAUGACGGCCUUAGGGUUGUAAAGCUCUUUUCUUCGGGACGAUAACGACGGUACCGGAGGAAUAAGCCCCGGCUAACUUCGUG